CGAGGUCCUUUAUCUACUUCCCCAGAAUCAGAUGAACUUGUGGAAACAAUUUUUAUGUCUCUGCGUGCAGUUUGAAGGAGGUUGCUAACUAGCGUUAGCGCAAUGACUAGAAGUCUAUGGGAACCUGCUAAUACCCAUACACUUCCAGUCAUUGUGCUAAUGCUAGUUAGCAUUGUCUCACUAAACUACCCCCCCCCCCCCCCCAACUUCCUUCCAUACUGAACACAGAGACAUUAAAGAUGGAAUCCAUGAGUUCAUCUGACUCUGGGUCAGUAGAUACAAUCCUGAAGUAUUCCUUUAAAGAUGGAAUCUACGAGUUCAUCUGACUCUGGGUCAGUAGAUAAACUCCUGAAAUAUUCCUUUAAAGAUGGUAUAGUGUGUUUUGAAAUAAGAACACUUAACCCUCAGAUGGACAAAGAGGUUCCACGUUGGUUUUACUAAGCAUCCAACUUGAUGUUUAUAAUGUUUACAAAAUGGCUUUGAAUUGCUCUGCAGUAUUUUCAGGUAUCAUUAUAAAAGUGCAGCUUUCGGCCCUUUUCAGGGGCAUGUUGAAAGAGUCAGACUAUAGCUGAGUCAUAACCUAUUCAUACUUAUCUGUAAAAAAUAUAUAAUUGGUUUGACUUGAUUAUCUACACAUGGGGCAAUGGGCAGUCAGGAAAAUGGACAUUGAACAAAAUGUUCAGAUAUAAAUGUAUUGUGUAGAUCAAAUAUGACUGUCAGAGAUUGAAAGCAGCCAAUCCAAUAGUUUCAUAAAAUAAGUCACUUCCUGAAAUCUGUAUUCAAAUAUUUUAAAAAAGUAGUCACUUCCUGAAAUCUGUAUUCAAAUAGUUUUAAGAAGUAGUCACUUCCUGAAAUCUGUAUUCAAAUAGUUUUAAGAAGUAGUCACUUCCCGAAAUCUGUAUUCAAAUAGUUUUAAGAAGUAGUCACUUCCCGAAAUCUGUAUUCAAAUAGUUUUAAGAAGUAGUCACUUCCUGAAAUCUGUAUUCAAAUAGUUAAAAAAAAAAAAAUCGCCUCCAAAGUAGCUAUUUGUUUCCCCAAUAAUUCCAAAGCAGUUCAAGGGAAUGGGCUGCCAUUUGGGACAACCAGAGUGGAGUGGAUGGAGCACAGUCAAACCCAGCCCUAAGAGAUUGGACAGGCCGGCACUAAUGGCGAGUGUUCAUUGGUUUGCCUACAAAAACUAAACUGCUGUGAAAUUAACUGUGAUGUAACUACAUUGAAAACGAGCAGAUAAUUUUAAUUUUAAUUACAAAACGGACCCAGAUUUAAUCUGAAUAAAAGACUCAAAAAAAUGUUGUAUCGUUUGUCUGUAAAUCAUUUCUCCGCUCUCAUUUCUGUCUGCAAAUGGUUAGUACGGCAUUCCCUAACCUUUAAGAGGCUACGUCCCAAACCGCACCCCAUUCCCUUUAAAAAGCUACAUCCCAAACGACACCCCAUGGGCCCUGGUCAAUAGUAGUGCACUACACAAGGA
rnacentral:lncRNA from 1 species